rnacentral:rRNA from 1 species
AGACCCGAAACCCGGUGAUCUAGCCAUGGGCAGGUUGAAGGUUGGGUAACACUAACUGGAGGACCGAACCGACUAAUGUUGAAAAAUUAGCGGAUGACCUGUGGCUGGGGGUGAAAGGCCAAUCAAACCGGGAGAUAGCUGGUUCUCCCCGAAAGCUAUUUAGGUAGCGCCUCGUGAAUUCAUCUCCGGGGGUAGAGCACUGUUUCGGCUAGGGGGCCAUCCCGGCUUACCAACCCGAUGCAAACUGCGAAUACCGGAGAAUGUUAUCACGGGAGACACACGGCGGGUGCUAACGUCCGUCGUGAAGAGGGAAACAACCCAGACCGCCAGCUAAGGUCCCAAAGUCAUGGUUAAGUGGGAAACGAUGUGGGAAGGCCCAGACAGCCAGGAUGUUGGCUUAGAAGCAGCCAUCAUUUAAAGAAAGCGUAAUAGCUCACUGGUCGAGUCGGCCUGCGCGGAAGAUGUAACGGGGCUAAACUAUGCACCGAAGCUGCGGCAGCGACACUAUGUGUUGUUGGGUAGGGGAGCGUUCUGUAAGCCUGUGAAGGUGUGUCGUGAGGCAUGCUGGAGGUAUCAGAAGUGCGAAUGCUGACAUAAGUAACGAUAAAGCGGGUGAAAAGCCCGCUCGCCGGAAGACCAAGGGUUCCUGUCCAACGUUAAUCGGGGCAGGGUGAGUCGACCCCUAAGGCGAGGCCGAAAGGCGUAGUCGAUGGGAAACGGGUUAAUAUUCCCGUACUUGGUGUUACUGCGAAGGGGGGACGGAGAAGGCUAUGUUGGCCGGGCGACGGUUGUCCCGGUUUAAGCGUGUAGGUGUGUGUUCCAGGUAAAUCCGGUUCACUUUAACACUGAGGCGUGACGACGAGGCACUACGGUGCUGAAGCAACAAAUGCCCUGCUUCCAGGAAAAGCCUCUAAGCAUCAGGUAACAUCAAAUCGUACCCCAAACCGACACAGGUGGUCAGGUAGAGAAUACCAAGGCGCUUGAGAGAACUCGGGUGAAGGAACUAGGCAAAAUGGUGCCGUAACUUCGGGAGAAGGCACGCUGACACGUAGGUGAAGUGAUUUACUCAUGGAGCUGAAGUCAGUCGAAGAUACCAGCUGGCUGCAACUGUUUAUUAAAAACACAGCACUGUGCAAACACGAAAGUGGACGUAUACGGUGUGACGCCUGCCCGGUGCCGGAAGGUUAAUUGAUGGGGUCAGCGCAAGCGAAGCUCCUGAUCGAAGCCCCGGUAAACGGCGGCCGUAACUAUAACGGUCCUAAGGUAGCGAAAUUCCUUGUCGGGUAAGUUCCGACCUGCACGAAUGGCGUAAUGAUGGCCAGGCUGUCUCCACCCGAGACUCAGUGAAAUUGAACUCGCUGUGAAGAUGCAGUGUACCCGCGGCAAGACGGAAAGACCCCGUGAACCUUUACUAUAGCUUGACACUGAACAUUGAGCCUUGAUGUGUAG